rnacentral:rRNA from 1 species
GACGAACGCUGGCGGCGUGCCUAAUACAUGCAAGUCGAACGCAGUGGGGACGGGUGAGUAACACGUGGGUAACCUCCCAUCAGAGGGGAUAACACUUGGAAACAGGUGCUAAACCGAUACUGAUGGAUGGACCCGCGGUGCAUUCGCUAGUUGGUGAGGUAACGGCUCACCAAGGCCACGAUGCAUAGCCGAAGUGGGAGGGUGAGCUGGCACACUGGGACUGAGACACGGCCCAGACCCCUACGGGAGGCAGCAGUAGGGAAUCUUCGGCAAUGGACGAAAGUCUGACCGAGCAACGCCGCGUGAGUGAAGAAGGUGUUCGGAUCGGAAAACUCUGUUGUUAGAGAAGCGUUAUCUAUCCAGAAAGCCACGGCUAACUACGUGCCAGUAGCCGCGGUAGCGGUAAUUC